GCUUCCUCCGAGCUCCCCGCUCCACCUUGCGGCGGGGGUGGCGGCUGCCCAGCACCCUGAGAUUCACGGUCCCGUCUCCAGACCGACUAAAAGCAGCACACUUCCCGAUCCUGAGCGUUUCAUAGGAGUUUCCUCCCCACAGCGUAAGUCGGCCUCAAUUCAGGCUGUUUUCCUCUUCUCUGACUGAACUGCGCCUAACGUCACCUUGGAAUGGUGCCCCGAAAGGACAAGGCCCGCCCAGCGCUGGCGGCCCGCGCCUGUCAGGAGGACCAGGGUUCGAAGCCAGCCCGGACAGGAGAGCCCACAAGCCUCUGCCUCCAACCGGCCCCCAGCCAAAGCCGGGCAUGGAGCGGUGGCUCAAGGGGUAGAGCUCCGGCCUCGAGCACAAAACCUCAAGAACACUGCUCAGGCUCGGAGCUUAAGCCCCAGAACCAGCACAAAAUAGAAAACUUACAAGCUGUAUGUAAAGAAAAUAAGCACAGAAUGCAAAACCAGCUAAAGCCACCAGCACAACCAUGUUCAUUGCAGCAUUGUUUAAACAUAGCCAAGAGCUGGAAUCAACUCAGACGCCCCUCAACAGACAAAUGGAUCAAGAAAAUGUGGUAAACAUCUUCAAGUUGCCUGAGGAAAUCUUAACCAGGAGCCAGUGGAUCCCACCUGUCAUCCUAGCUACUGAGGAGGCUGAGAUCUGAGCAUCAUGGUUCGAAGCCAGCCUGGGCAGGAAA